rnacentral:misc_RNA from 1 species
ACGCUACUUUGUCCGGCAGGUCCUCCACGGGCGUACAGUCCCUCCCCGCUCUCCCAUCCACCGACCCUUUUCAACUGUCUGUGCUUGCGGCUGUGCUCCAUUCUUGUUUGUCUACUUGCGCGCGGUCCUCUUUGGCGGGAACUCCGCCACAUAGGCACUCACGCACGCGACACACCGCAAGAGCCACUGAGCGUUUCCUUCGUCUGCUCUCUCAUUGGAGGCGCUUUCUUCCCUCUUUACUGUUCGCCUCAGUGGUGAAUAUUGUGACGGUGGUAGCGAAGAGAAGUCAUGGAAACGAAAACGAACGGCAGUGGCCUUUAAGAAGUCUCAUCAAUAGAAUCCAUAACGCCCUGUGCUCGCCCUCAACUCCCUCCGUGCUUCUGUCCCCUCGAUAGACGCCUAAUCUCGUGGGCAGUUACGGACGCGCGUGGGCACGGCGAUGGGGUAGCACUUGCGUAAGGGCACGUUGGAGGCGAGGUAUCGUACUACCACUUCCUGUGUAUAGCCACUACACCAAAAACAAGAACAAAUCGCCAAGCGUCCGGAGGUGCCCUCCCCACGUGCGUUUCAUGUGCGUGUGCGCACCGCUGUUCUCGGGUGGCCGAGUGAUGGCCCUCUCCCCUCGAAGCAUUUUUCGCGCUAACCCCUCUCUCCUGUAUGUGGGCCUGUUUCUGUGUACAUGUGCCUGCCCUCUCUGACGCCUCUUUCACUUUCUUCCCUCCUCUUUCCUCUUUGCCCAUUCCCCCUGGCACACACCACCGACACACACACACACACACACACACACAACGGAGAGCAG